GGUUCGAUUCGAGCGAAAGCGAGAAAGCGUUGCCGCAGGCAACGACCCGAAGGGCGAAGCGCGCAGCGCUGAGUCAUCCUUCCCCCACCACCA
rnacentral:sRNA from 1 species